rnacentral:rRNA from 1 species
UACGGGGGGGAGCAAGCGUUGUUCGGAAUCACUGGGCGUAAAGGGAGUCUAGGCGGUUUGGUAAGUGGGAUGUGAAAUCCCCGGGCUCACCCCCGGGACCUGCAUCCCAAACUGCUGAGCUUGAGUACAGGAGAGGGUGGGGGAAUUCCAGGUGUAGCGGUGAAAUGCGUAGAUAUCUGGAGGAACACCGGUGGCGAAGGCGCCCACCUGG